rnacentral:tRNA from 1 species
GAGGGUGUAGCUCAGUGGUAGAGCGCGCACUUAACAUGCACGAGGUCCUGGUUUCAAUCCCCAGUACCUCA